UUGCUGGAGGUAUCAGAAGUGCGAAUGCUGACAUAAGUAACGAUAAAGCGGGUGAAAAGCCCGCUCGCCGGAAGACCAAGGGUUCCUGUCCAACGUUAAUCGGGGCAGGGUGAGUCGACCCCUAAGGCGAGGCCGAAAGGCGUAGUCGAUGGGAAACAGGUUAAUAUUCCUGUACUUGGUGUUACUGCGAAGGGGGGACGGAGAAGGCUAUGUUGGCCGGGCGACGGUUGUCCCGGUUUAAGCGUGUAGGCUGGUUUUCCAGGCAAAUCCGGAAAAUCAAGGCUGAGGCGUGAUGACGAGGCACUACGGUGCUGAAGCGACAAAUGCCCUGCUUCCAGGAAAAGCCUCUAAGCAUCAGGUAACAUCAAAUCGUACCCCAAACCGACACAGGUGGUCAGGUAGAGAAUACCAAGGCGCUUGAGAGAACUCGGGUGAAGGAACUAGGCAAAAUGGUGCCGUAACUUCGGGAGAAGGCACGCUGAUAUGUAGGUGAAGCGACUUGCUCGUGGAGCUGAAAUCAGUCGAAGAUACCAGCUGGCUGCAACUGUUUAUUAAAAACACAGCACUGUGCAAACACGAAAGUGGACGUAUACGGUGUGACGCCUGCCCGGUGCCGGAAGGUUAAUUGAUGGGGUUAGCGGUAACGCGAAGCUCUUGAUCGAAGCCCCGGUAAACGGCGGCCGUAACUAUAACGGUCCUAAGGUAGCGAAAUUCCUUGUCGGGUAAGUUCCGACCUGCACGAAUGGCGUAAUGAUGGCCAGGCUGUCUCCACCCGAGACUCAGUGAAAUUGAACUCGCUGUGAAGAUGCAGUGUACCCGCGGCAAGACGGAAAGACCCCGUGAACCUUUACUAUAGCUUGACACUGAACAUUGAGCCUUGAUGUGUAGGAUAGGUGGGAGGCUUUGAAGUGUGGACGCCAGUCUGCAUGGAGCCGACCUUGAAAUACCACCCUUUAAUGUUUGAUGUUCUAACGUGGGCCCCUUACCGGGGUUGCGGACAGUGUCUGGUGGGUAGUUUGACUGGGGCGGUCUCCUCCUAAAGAGUAACGGAGGAGCACGAAGGUUGGCUAAUCCUGGUCGGACAUCAGGAGGUUAGUGCAAUGGCAUAAGCCAGCUUGACUGCGAGCGUGACGGCGCGAGCAGGUGCGAAAGCAGGUCAUAGUGAUCCGGUGGUUCUGAAUGGAAGGGCCAUCGCUCAACGGAUAAAAGGUACUCCGGGGAUAACAGGCUGAUACCGCCCAAGAGUUCAUAUCGACGGCGGUGUUUGGCACCUCGAUGUCGGCUCAUCACAUCCUGGGGCUGAAGUAGGUCCCAAGGGUAUGGCUGUUCGCCAUUUAAAGUGGUACGCGAGCUGGGUUUAGAACGUCGUGAGACAGUUCGGUCCCUAUCUGCCGUGGGCGCUGGAGAACUGAGGGGGGCUGCUCCUAGUACGAGAGGACCGGAGUGGACGCAUCACUGGUGUUCGGGUUGUCAUGCCAAUGGCACUGCCCGGUAGCUAAAUGCGGAAGAGAUAAGUGCUGAAAGCAUCUAAGCACGAAACUUGCCCCGAGAUGAGUUCUCCCUGACUCCUUGAGAGUCCUGAAGGAACGUUGAAGACGACGACGUUGAUAGGCCGGGUGUGUAAGCGCAGCGAUGCGUUGAGCUAACCGGUACUAAUGAACCGUGAGGCUUAACCUU
rnacentral:rRNA from 1 species